GCGAGUAAAGUGGCGCACGGGUGAGUAACGCGUGGGUAAUCUACCUCCGUCCGGGGGAUAACGCACCGAAAGGUGCGCUAAUACCGCAUAAUCCGAUGUGACCCUGGUCAUAUCGGCAAAGGUGGCCUCUCCAUGGAAGCUACCGGAUAGAGAUGAGCCCGCGUCCCAUUAGCUUGUUGGUGAGGUAAAGGCUCACCAAGGCGACGAUGGGUAGCUGGUCUGAGAGGACGAUCAGCCACACUGGAACUGGAACACGGUCCAGACUCCUACGGGAGGCAGCAGUGAGGAAUAUUGCGCAAUGGGGGAAACCCUGACGCAGCGAUGCCGCGUGGGUGAAGAAGGCCUUCGGGUCGUAAAGCCCUGUCAGGCGGGAAGAACGGUCUGGGGACGAAUAAUCCCCAGGUUUGACGGUACCGCUGAAGGAAGCACCGGCUAACUCCGUGCCAGCAGCCGCGGUAA
rnacentral:rRNA from 1 species